GAUGAACGCUAGCGGCAGGCUUAACACAUGCAAGUCGAGGGGUAUGGUUCUUCGGAACCAGAGACCGGCGCACGGGUGCGUAACGCGUAUGCAAUCUACCUUUUACAGAGGGAUAGCCCAGAGAAAUUUGGAUUAAUACCUCAUAGUAUAACGAUGACCGCAUGGUCGAGUUAUUAAAGUCACAACGGUAAAAGAUGAGC
rnacentral:rRNA from 1 species